UCUCCUUUUCCCAGCUUCUCCUGGGAGGAUGAGGAGGCCUGGGGGCUGAGGCUGGUCUACGGUUGCCGGGUGACAAGUUGGAGCCGGGACAGUGGGAGUGCUCGCUGCCUCGGCCGUCGGCCCGUUCACUUCGCUCGGGGUGACCUUCGUCGGCCAGGGACAGGGGGCGGGGAGUCGUGCGCCGGAGCUCUGUGACGAGGCGCCGCCGCGGGUCCGCGGGAAAGGAGCUAGCGAGCGGAUUUGCGAGCGGGGCCCUCGGCCGGGUCGAGCCCGCGGAGCCCGCGAGGCCGGAGCCCGGGGCCUGGGGAGCCGGGUCUGGGGCUGGCGCUCGCGAGCCGGUUUGAGGUCCGGUCCCUAGCUCUGCGGGCGGGGCUCCAGCGCCCGGUGUGGAAGGCCUUUCCCCAAGUAACAUAAUGGCAGAAACUGCUUCUCCACUGAAGCACUUUGUGCUGGCCAAGAGGGCAAUUACUGCAAUCUUUGACCAGUUACUGGAGUUUGUUACUGAAGGAUCCCAUUUUGUUGAAGCAACAUACAGGAAUCCAGAACUUGAUCAAAUAGCUACUGAGGAUGAUCUGAUAGAAAUACAGGGUUACAGAAACAAGCUUUCCAUCAUUGGUGAGGUGCUGUCUCGGAGACAUAUGAAAGUGGCAUUUUUUGGCAGGACAAGCAGUGGGAAGAGUUCUGUUAUCAAUGCAAUGUUGUGGGAUAAAGUCCUCCCUAGUGGGAUUGGCCAUACAACCAAUUGCUUCCUGAGUGUUGAAGGAACUGAUGGAGAUAAAGCCUAUCUUAUGACAGAAGGAUCAGAUGAAAAAAAGAGUGUGAAGACAGUUAAUCAGCUGGCCCAUGCCCUUCAUAUGGACAAAGACUUGAAAGCUGGCUGUCUUGUACAUGUAUUUUGGCCAAAGGCAAAAUGUGCCCUCUUGAGAGAUGACCUGGUUUUAGUGGACAGUCCAGGUACAGAUGUCACUACAGAGCUGGAUAGCUGGAUUGAUAAGUUCUGCUUAGAUGCUGAUGUCUUCGUUUUGGUUGCAAACUCUGAAUCAACACUAAUGAACACGGAAAAGCAGUUUUUUCACAAGGUAAAUGAGCGACUUUCCAAGCCUAAUAUUUUCAUUUUGAAUAAUCGUUGGGAUGCCUCUGCAUCAGAGCCAGAAUAUAUGGAAGACGUACGCAGACAGCACAUGGAAAGAUGUCUACAUUUCUUGGUGGAGGAGCUUAAAGUUGUGGAUCCUUUAGAGGCACAGAAUCGUAUUUUCUUUGUUUCUGCAAAGGAAGUUCUUAGUGCUAGAAAGCACAAAGCACAGGGGAUGCCAGAAGGUGGUGGGGCACUUGCUGAAGGAUUCCAGGCAAGAUUACAGGAGUUUCAGAAUUUUGAACAAAUCUUCGAGGAGUGUAUCUCGCAGUCAGCAGUGAAAACAAAGUUUGAACAGCACACUAUCAGAGCUAAACAGAUACUAGAUACUGUGAAAAACAUAAUGGAUUCAGUAAACGUGGCAGCAGCAGAGAAAAGGGUUUAUUCAAUGGAAGAGAGGGAAGAUCAAAUUGAUAGACUGGACUUUAUCCGAAACCAGAUGAACCUUUUAACACUGGAUGUUAAGAAAAAAAUCAGGGCGGUUACAGAAGAGGUGGCAAACAAGGUUUCCUGUGCAAUGACAGAUGAAAUUUGUCGACUGUCUGUUUUGGUUGAUGAAUUUUGUUCUGAGUUUCAUCCUACUCCAAGUGUAUUGAAAGUAUAUAAAAAUGAGUUAAAUAAGCACAUUGAAGAUGGUAUGGGAAGAAAUUUGGCCGAUCGAUGCACCAAUGAAGUCAAUGCUUCAAUGCUUCAGUCCCAGCAAGAAAUUAUUGAAAAUUUGAAGCCAUUACUUCCAACUGGUAUACAGAAUAAACUUCAUACACUGAUUCCUUGCAAGAAAUUUGAUCUCAGCUAUGACCUAAAUUGCCACAAGUUAUGUUCAGAUUUUCAAGAGGAUAUUGUAUUUCGUUUUUCCCUGGGCUGGUCUUCCCUUGUGCAUCGUUUCUUGGGCCCAGUGAAUGCCCAGAGGGUGCUGCUAGGAUUAUCAGAACCCAUCUUCCAGCUCCCCAGAUCUUUAGCCUCUACUCCCACUGCUCCAACCAAUCCAGCAACGCCAGACAAUGCAUCACAGGAAGAACUCAUGGUUACCUUAGUAACAGGAUUAGCUUCUCUCACAUCUAGAACUUCUAUGGGCAUCAUCGUUGUUGGAGGAGUGAUUUGGAAAACUGUAGGGUGGAAACUCAUAUCUGUUUCACUAAGUAUGUAUGGAGCUUUGUAUCUUUACGAGAGGCUAACGUGGACCACGCAUGCCAAGGAGAGAGCCUUUAAACAGCAGUUUGUGAACUAUGCAACUGAAAAACUGCAGAUGAUUGUUAGCUUCACUAGUGCAAACUGUAGCCAUCAAGUACAACAGGAAAUGGCAACCACUUUUGCUCGCCUAUGCCAACAAGUUGAUAUUACACAAAGACAUCUGGAAGAAGAAAUUGCUAGAUUAUCCAAAGAAAUAGAUCAGCUGGAGAAAAUACAAAACAGUUCAAAGUUCUUAAGGACAGUUGCCUGAAGACGCAUACAGUGGAGUCCAUAUGUACAUUAACUCAUAUGACCUUGACCAUAUGCACCGAGCAACAGUACAAGACCAAGAGAAAAGAGAGCAGCUCAUUCAAAAAUAAAGCUGUUCAACUUGAAAAUGAGCUGGAGAAUUUUACUAAGCAGUUUCUACAUUCAAGCAAGGAAGAAGAAUCUUAACAGAGAUUGCUUUGGUGAUCAUCAUAGGAGAAAAUGGAACUUGGAAGACUGGGGACAGUUGUUUAUGAAAUGACUUUAAAUAUGAAUUAUACUAACUGUA